rnacentral:tRNA from 1 species
ACCAGGAUGACCAAGCAUUGGACUUAAGAUCCAAUGGGUGCGUGCCCGUGUGGGUUCAAACCCCACUCCCAGUA